rnacentral:rRNA from 1 species
GACGUAGGUGGCGAACGUUAUCCGGAAUUAUUGGGCGUAAAGGGUGCGUAGGUGGCCUGACAAGUUAUCAGUGGCAAAUCGAGGCUCAACCUCGUGGAAACUGGUAAUACUGUCCGGCUUGAGUACAGGAGAGGUUAACGGAACUCUAUGUGGAGCGGUAAAAUGCAAAGAUAUAUAGAAGAACAUCAAGAACGGCGAAGGCAGUUAACUAUUCUGUUACUGACACUGAGGCACGAAAGCGUGGGGAGCAAAACGG